AUUGAACGCUGGCGGAAUGCUUUACACAUGCAAGUCGAACGGCAGCACGGGGGCAACCCUGGUGGCGAGUGGCGAACGGGUGAGUAAUGCAUCGGAACGUGCCCAGUCGUGGGGGAUAACGUAGCGAAAGCUACGCUAAUACCGCAUACGAUCUACGGAUGAAAGCGGGGGAUCGCAAGACCUCGCGCGAUUGGAGCGGCCGAUGGCAGAUUAGGUAGUUGGUGGGGUAAAGGCUCACCAAGCCGACGAUCUGUAGCUGGUCUGAGAGGACGACCAGCCACACUGGGACUGAGACACGGCCCAGACUCCUACGGGAGGCAGCAGUGGGGAAUUUUGGACAAUGGGCGAAAGCCUGAUCCAGCCAUUCCGCGUGCAGGAUGAAGGCCCUCGGGUUGUAAACUGCUUUUGUACGGAACGAAAAGGCUCUCUCUAAUACAGGGGGCUCAUGACGGUACCGUAAGAAUAAGCACCGGCUAACUACGUGCCAGCCGCCGCUGUAACAC
rnacentral:rRNA from 1 species